GGUGAACGCUGGCGGUAGGCCUAACACAUGCAAGUCGAACGGCAGCACAGUAAGAGCUUGCUCUUACGGGUGGCGAGUGGCGGACGGGUGAGGAAUACAUCGGAAUCUACUUUUUCGUGGGGGAUAACGUAGGGAAACUUACGCUAAUACCGCAUACGACCUACGGGUGAAAGCAGGGGAUCUUCGGACCUUGCGCGAUUGAAUGAGCCGAUGUCGGAUUAGCUAGUUGGCGGGGUAAAGGCCCACCAAGGCGACGAUCCGUAGCUGGUCUGAGAGGAUGAUCAGCCACACUGGAACUGAGACACGGUCCAGACUCCUACGGGAGGCAGCAGUGGGGAAUAUUGGACAAUGGGCGCAAGCCUGAUCCAGCCAUACCGCGUGGGUGAAGAAGGCCUUCGGGUUGUAAAGCCCUUUUGUUGGGAAAGAAGAGCAGCAGGUUAAUACCCCGCUGUUCUGACGGUACCCAAAGAAUAAGCACCGGCUAACUUCGUG
rnacentral:rRNA from 1 species